GGGGGCGUGGCCAGCGGCUGUUGUUACUGCGGCUUCAUCCAAAGAGAAAAGAGACACUGAGCGAAACAGGGCGACACUCUCCUCACAAUAGUUGUGUUUUUGGUCAGUAAGCGGAUAUUUUGUGACAGCACGCAGCCGAGCCGAUGUUGGCCAUUGUUCUAAACAGGACGGUAUGUGAGCUGAGAGAGGAUGAGCUGAGUCCUGAUGAUCCAGAGGUUGAAUCAGCAGCAGCUUGUGUGUAGAGAGACUCUGACUGGACCAUGUUAUGGGAGGUGGAGUCAAGAGGAGAGCUUCAUCCACAUGUUUCUCCAUGUCAGACCAGUGGUGUAGUCUAUGUGAUACGCAGGUAUACGCCGUAUAUCCACUAGAAAAGCUCCUGAAUUGUCGUCUAACGGCUGAAAAACACACAACGAUGCGUAUCAGCCUGGUUUAGUGACAUAACUUCACUUUCCCGUUCAUAAAUGGACCUUCUCUGUGUUACCAAGCGUUCACUUUUGGACCAUGGGGGCUUCCGUCAAGCGUGACGUGGACCCGACGUUAACUACUAAGGAAGCAGUGAAGUUGUGCGGCGGCAACGAGUCGACAACUUGAACUGGUCCAACGCUCGUCAGUGGAGAAGGAAUGUGGAGAAAAAACAAUGAGAAGAAAGAAAAGGAAGCCCAGUAACACUAUUUGAGAUGGUAGGGAAGGAGAGCUGAUGACGCUGUCGUCCUACCUGGUUGUGUAUCUGCACUGCAACAAAAUCCACAGAGGAAAGGGCGUCUACAUCUGAGGAGUGGGUGUCCUUUAAAAUCCAGUCCUCAGACACAAACCACAAACAGCUCUAGGUCCUUUUUCUUUAUUUGAAACUUAUUUGUCUCGUCACUGUCUGUUCAGUGGUUAAUUAAAGUCCAGCUGUUCAUGUCUGUUA